AACGAACGCUGGCGGCAUGCCUAACACAUGCAAGUCGAACGAGACCUUCGGGUCUAGUGGCGCACGGGUGCGUAACGCGUGGGAACCUGCCCUUAGGUUCGGAAUAACCCCCCGAAAGGGGUGCUAAUACCGGAUAAUGUCUUCGGACCAAAGAUUUAUCGCCUUUGGAUGGGCCCGCGUUGGAUUAGCUAGUUGGUAGGGUAAAAGCCUACCAAGGCGACGAUCCAUAGCUGGUCUGAGAGGAUGAUCAGCCACACUGGGACUGAGACACGGCCCAGACUCCUACGGGAGGCAGCAGUGGGGAAUAUUGGACAAUGGGCGAAAGCCUGAUCCAGCAAUGCCGCGUGAGUGAUGAAGGCCUUAGGGUUGUAAAGCUCUUUUAGCCGGGAUGAUAAUGACAGUACCGGGAGAAUAAGCUCCGGCUAACUCCGUG
rnacentral:rRNA from 1 species